rnacentral:rRNA from 1 species
UACAGAGGAUGCAAGCGUUAUCCGGAAUGAUUGGGCGUAAAGCGUCUGUAGGUGGCUUUUUAAGUCCGCCGUCAAAUCCCAGGGCUCAACUCUGGACAGGCGGUGGAAACUACCAAGCUGGAGUGCGGUAGGGGCAGAGGGAAUUUCCGGUGGAGCGGUGAAAUGCGUAGAGAUCGGAAAGAACACCAACGGCGAAAGCGCUCUGCUGGGCCGAAACUGACACUGAGAGACGAAAGCUAGGGGAGCGAAUGGG